rnacentral:tRNA from 1 species
UGGCUCAGAUGGUAAAGCAUCUGUCUGCAAUGCAGGAGACCCGGGUUUGAUCCCUGG